GCCCCUUUAGCUCAGUUGGCUAGAGCAGCUGAUUUGUAAUCAGCAGGUCGCCUGUUCGAGUCAGGCAAGAGGCU
rnacentral:tRNA from 1 species